AUUGAACGCUGGCGGCAGGCUUAACACAUGCAAGUCGAGCGGGGGAAGGUAGCUUGCUACCGGACCUAGCGGCGGACGGGUGAGUAAUGCUUAGGAAUCUGCCUAUUAGUGGGGGACAACAUCUCGAAAGGGAUGCUAAUACCGCAUACGUCCUACGAGAGAAAGAAGGGGAUCUUCGGACCUUGCGCUAAUAGAUGAGCCUAAGUCGGAUUAGCUAGUUGGUGGGGUAAAGGCCUACCAAGGCGACGAUCUGUAGCGGGUCUGAGAGGAUGAUCCGCCACACUGGGACUGAGACACGGCCCAGACUCCUACGGGAGGCAGCAGUGGGGAAUAUUGGACAAUGGGGGGAACCCUGAUCCAGCCAUGCCGCGUGUGUGAAGAAGGCCUUAUGGUUGUAAAGCACUUUAAGCGAGGAGGAGGCUACUCUAGUUAAUACCUAGGGAUAGUGGACGUUACUCGCAGAAUAAGCACCGGCUAACUCUGUGCCAGCCGCCGCGGUAACAC
rnacentral:rRNA from 1 species